rnacentral:rRNA from 1 species
AUUGAACGCUGGCGGCAUGCCUUACACAUGCAAGUCGAACGGCAGCGCGGGGCAACCUGGCGGCGAGUGGCGAACGGGUGAGUAAUAUAUCGGAACAUACCCUAGAGUGGGGGAUAACGUAGCGAAAGUUACGCUAAUACCGCAUACGCACUAAGGUGGAAAGUGGGGGAUUCGCAAGAACCUCAUGCUCAUGGAGUGGCCGAUAUCUGAUUAGCUAGUUGGUGAGGUAAAGGCUCACCAAGGCAACGAUCAGUAGCUGGUUUGAGAGAACGACCAGCCACACUGGAACUGAGACACGGUCCAGACUCCUACGGGAGGCAGCAGUGGGGAAUUUUGGACAAUGGGGGCAACCCUGAUCCAGCAAUGCCGCGUGAGUGAAGAAGGCCUUCGGGUUGUAAAGGCUCUUUUGUUCUAGGGAAGGAAACGGUGAGAGCUAAUAUCUCUUG